CAAACAUCUCAGAAACAAGGUUCCAUUUGUUCAUGAAGAUCACAGCCACUUAGCUUCAAGCAUGAGAUCUCUCACAUACACACACACACGC